CCUCCCGCCUGCCUCACCGCCUUAGCAUUCACCUACGCUGGUCAUGGCGUCUCCACAGGACCAAGGGGCUCCCCUCCCAUUGAUGCCAGAUAAGUCAUGAAGACCUGAGGAUAAAAGCCAGCAGCAGUGUAUGUCUGUGGUCCCAGUGCUGAGAAGGUGGAAAUAGGCAGAUCCCUGGAGUUCACUGGCCAGCCAGUCUAAUGGAAAAAGGUGAGUUCCGGGUUCAGUGAGAGAAACUGUCCAAAAACUACAGUGGAGACGAGUUGAGACAUCCCAGGCCAAUCUCUGGCUUCCACACAUACAUGCACAUGAACUUGCAUACACAUGUGCAUAUACCCACACAAACAUGUAUAUUAGAAUCCACCAUUAUCUUUUAUACAUGUGAGUUCAUGAGUGUCCAGCUGUAUAUAUGUGUACAUGUAUAUAAAAACAAGAGGUCAACCAGUACCCUUCUUCAGGUGCCAUCAACUUUGUUUACUAUGAUUAUUACUACUAUUAUUAUUUUGUGCAUGCAUGAUGGCGGUACACAAGUGCUAUAGUAUAUAUGUGGUUAAAAGACACCUUUGUGGAGUCAGUUUUUCUUUCUAUCUUUUUGUGGGUUCCAGUGAUCAAGCUUAGGUUAUCUGGUCUGCAGCACAAGCACCUGUAACCACUGAAUCAUCCUGCUAGAUAGACUUCACCUUGUUUGUUCAGACAGAGCCUCUUCAUUGUCUUGGAGCUCAUUGAUUCAGCUAGACUUGCUGGCUGCCAGUCUCAGGGUUCUUGGUGUUUCCUCCUCUCACUGUGAUUACACACUUGGUUUAUUUUUAUGUGGGAAGUACCUGAGUACUUACCUCAUGCUUAUGAAACACUUAUUUUACCAACUUGAGCCAUCUCCCUAGCACCCAAUAACUCAUUUUGAAGAGCAUGAACUAAUCCACUGCUGCAAGAACUAAUCUAGUCUUGCACGAAAGAUGUCAAUCCCUCUGAAUGGUCCCACCUAUUAGUAUCCAUGCAUUAUAACCAAAAUUCCACCAUGAAUUUUGACAAGGAUAGACCACAUCCACACCAUUGUAAUGUCCUCUCUACUCUUCCCCCAAAUGACAACUAGUUUGAUUUCUUUCACUGUAGACUGUUUUUUCCUGGCUUAGCAUUCCAUUGAAAACUGUAGGAUUACCCUUUGUGUCUGGGUUUUCUUUUAAACUUAGGUCUAGGAAAUUCAUCUAUGCUGUUCUAUAGUUGUGAUUGUUGAAUGGCAUUCUAUUAUGUGAUCACUGUCAUAGUUCAUGGUCAAUUCUUUUGUUGGAUACCAAGACUGUUUCUAGUUUGUUUUUUUUUUUUUUAGUUUUUACUUUUGCUAAUAUGAAUAAAGAUCAUCUGAAUAUGUACAUAUAUGUUUUAGUGUGAAUAUAUAACAUGCUGUGGUUAGCUCACCACAGUCAAUUUGGGGCUUCUCUUAGCUCUGGUUCAGUGAUGUCAUAUUGGUAGUUUGAAAUAGCCACUGUAGGAAUCUUUAUACCACAACUACCAAAUGUUGCAAAUUACAACUGUUUUCUUCCUGAAAAGCUGGUUGUUAACAUUUACCAGCAUACCAUGUUUUCAUUUCUCUAGAGUAAACACUUAGAAAUGAUGUUGUUGGACUGUAUGAUUGAUAUUCAAAUUAUUUCUUGUUCUGUUUUUGCAGAGAAUUUAAAGAAAGAACUCUUAUCUUUUUUUAUAGAACCAACAGACUCAACCCAGCACAAACAGGUUCUCAAAAUAACCACUAGCUUGUUUUGAAGUAAGAAAACGUGACAGCACCAUUUGGGACACAGAUUUUCUCUUAAAUUCAUCUAGUAGUCAGGGUGGCCAUCUGUUAACUUUAUCCAAAGGAAAACCAAGACUCAUAUCUUAUGAAAAAGAAGUAAUAACUUUGAGCUGGACACAUAGAGGAAGUUCACAUCAGACAGGGAGAUAGGGGUGUUGGUAUAUUUGAAAGUGAUGAUUUUAAGACUUUUAACGAAAAAUUUCUGUGGUUGUAAAACUGGCAAGAGACCACCAUAGUCUUGGGAAUUGCUGGGAAUUUAACUCAGGGCUUUGUGGUUCAUUCUCCUAAUGAGCUACAACCCUAGAGCCAGACUAAGCUUUUAAGGAGGAUUUACAUGUAUCUCAAAUGGAC
ensembl:lncRNA